UGGGCAUGUCUUUGACGUACUAUGUACUGAAAGAUGGACUGCUCAGUAAUACUCACUUUAUUUGAUGUACAUUAUACAUAACUACGUUAAAGUGUAGCUAACAUAUGUACAGUAAGAGUGAGACCUAUCAGCUAGUUGUUAAGGUAAUGGCUUAACAAGGCAAUAACGGGUAACGGUAUUACUUUGUAAUAUUCCGGAGAAGGAGCCUGAGAGACGGCUACUAAGUCUAAGGAUUGCAGCAGGGGCGAAACUUGACCUAUGGAUAUUAUCUGAGGCAGUUAUGGGAAGUAACAUAGUUGUUUCACAUUUUAAACGC
rnacentral:rRNA from 1 species